rnacentral:rRNA from 1 species
UACGGGGGGGGCAAGCGUUGUUCGGAAUUACUGGGCGUAAAGGGCUCGUAGGCGGCCAACUAAGUCAGACGUGAAAUCCCUCGGCUUAACCGGGGAACUGCGUCUGAUACUGGAUGGCUUGAGUUUGGGAGAGGGAUGCGGAAUUCCAGGUGUAGCGGUGAAAUGCGUAGAUAUCUGGAGGAACACCGGUGGCGAAGGCGGCAUCCUGGACCAACACUGACGCUGAGUGAGCGAAAGCCAGGGGAGGCAAAACGGG